rnacentral:rRNA from 1 species
UAGGGAAUCUUCGGCAAUGGACGGAAGUCUGACCGAGCAACGCCGCGUGAGUGAAGAAGGUUUUCGGAUCGUAAAGCUCUGUUGUAAGAGAAGAACGAGUGUGAGAGUGGAAAGUUCACACUGUGACGGUAUCUUACCAGAAAGGGACGGCUAACUACGUGCCAGCAGCCGCGGUAAUACGUAGGUCCCGAGCGUUGUCCGGAUUUAUUGGGCGUAAAGCGAGCGCAGGCGGUUAGAUAAGUCUGAAGUUAAAGGCUGUGGCUUAACCAUAGUACGCUUUGGAAACUGUUUAACUUGAGUGCAAGAGGGGAGAGUGGAAUUCCAUGUGUAGCGGUGAAAUGCGUAGAUAUAUGGAGGAACACCGGUGGCGAAAGCGGCUCUCUGGCUUGUAACUGACGCUGAGGCUCGAAAGCGUGGGGAGCAAACAGGAUUAGAUACCCUGGUAGUCCGCGCCGUAAACGAUGAGUGCUAGGUGUUAGACCCUUUCCGGGGUUUAGUGCCGCAGCUAACGCAUUAAGCACUCCGCCUGGGGAGUACGACCGCAAGGUUG